rnacentral:RNase_P_RNA from 1 species
GGAGUCGGCCGGACGAUCGCGGCGCCGCAAGGCGCGGAGGAAAGUCCGGGCUCCGCAGGGCAGGGUGCCAGGUAACGCCUGGGCGGCGCGAGCCGACGGAAAGUGCCACAGAAAACAUACCGCCUAAGCGCCUUCGGGCGCCGGCAAGGGUGAAAAGGUGCGGUAAGAGCGCACCGCGCGGCUGGCAACAGUCCGCGGCACGGUAAACCCCACCCGGAGCAAGACCAAAUAGGGGAGCGCGCGGCCUUCGGGCCGCUAAUGUGUGGCCCGCACAGUUCCCGGGUAGGUUGCUUGAGGUGUGCGGCGACGCACAUCCCAGAUGAAUGGUCGUCCACGACAGAACCCGGCUUACAGGCCGGCUCCCACC